CUAAUCCUUUAAGAUUCAAAUAAAGCAAGUUUUUAAAUGUGAAUUAAAGAUUAUUUUGUUAGGUUGUUGGUGUUUGUGUCUGUUCUAGUUUCAGUGUCUGUUGGUGUGCAAGGGUCUAGCACAGGACCGCCAGUAUGUGCCCUGAUGCCCGGGCACCAUGUGGAACCUCUGAAACGGGAUUGG